GUACUCGCUUCGGCGGUACAUAUACUAAAAUUGAAAGGAUACAGAGAUGAUUAGCAUGGCCCCUCCGCAAGGAUGGCCAAAAAAAAUGGUGUAAUGGCUAACACAUCU